UAUAUCUCCCACGUGUCGAAGCACGACUUAGAGGCAUAACCGCAUUGAAAGCAAUGUCGCAAGUGAGGUAAUCUUCACACAACCCAUGUAAUACAUAAGGGAAAAAGAUACAUAGUUGGCUUACAAUCGCCACUUCACACAAUUACAUGAAUAAAGCAUUACAUCAUACAGAUACAAUCAAGGUCCGACUACGGAACCAAAAUAAAAGAAGAACCCCAAAUGCGACAAAGGUCCCCGAUCGACCCCAACUGGGCUCCACUACUGAUCAACUAGAACGAAACAACACAAAGGGCAAGAUCUCCAUCGAGCUCCUCCUUAAGCUUGGUUGCGUCAUCUGCACGGACUCAACGGCACCUGCAAGCUGGUUUUGGAAGUAUCUGUGAGCCACGGGGACUCAGCAAUCUCGCACCCGCGAGAUCAAGACUAUUUAAGCUUAUAGGAAGGAUGGAGUAAUGAGGUGGAGCUGCAGCAAGCGACUAGCAUAUAUGGUGGCUACAAUCGCAAAAGAGAGCGAGAAGAGAAGGCAAAGCACGGUCGAUAAGAGUAUGAUCAAGAAGUGAUCCUAUAGCAACCUACGUCAAGCAUAACUCCAACACCAUGUUCACUUCCCGGACUCCGCCGGAAAGAGACCAUCACGGUUACACACACGGUUGAUGUAUUUUAAUUAAGGUCAACUUCGGGUUUUCUACAACCGGACGUUAACAAAUUCCCAUCUGCCCAUAACCGCGGGCACGGCUUUCGAAAGUUCAAAUCCCUGCAGGGUGUCCCAACUUAGCCCAUCACAAGCUCUCACGGUCAACGAAGGAAUAGACCUCCACCCGAGACACUCCGAUCAGACUCGGUAUCCCGGUACAACAAGACAUUUCGACAGGGUAAAACUAAACCAGCAACACCGCCCGAAUGUGCCGACAAAUCCCGAUAGGAGCUGCACAUAUCUCUUUCUCAGGGCACACUCAGAUGAGACUAGCUACGAGUAAAACCAACCCUCAAGUUUCCCCGAGGUGGCCCCGCAGGCAGCUCAGUUCGGACCAACACUCAGAGGAGCACUGGCCCGGGGGGGGGGGGUAAAAUAAUGAUGACCCUUGAGUCCGCGAAACCCAAGGGAAAAAGAGGCUAGGUGGCGAAUGGUAAAACCAAUGUUGGGCAUUGCUGGAAGAGCUUUACUUAAGGCGAACUGUCAAGGGGUUCCUAUAAUAGCCCAACCGCGUAAGGAACGCAUAAUCCGGGAACAUAACACCGAUAUGACGGAAACUAGGGCGGCAAGAGUGGAACAAAACACCAGGCAUAAGGCCGAGCCUUCCAUCCUUUACCAAGUAUAUAGAUGCAUUAAUUAAGUAAGAUAUAUUGUGAUAUCCCAACAAGUAAACAUGUUCCAACAAGGAACAACAUCUCCGUGUUCCAACAAGGAACAUACUUCAAUCUUCACCUGCAACUAACAACGCUAUAAGAGGGGCUGAGCAAAGCGGUAACAUAGCCAAUCAACGGUUUGCUAGGACAUUGGUGGGUUAGAGGCUGAACAUGGCAAUUUGGGUGGCUGACAAGCAAGUGGUAGGCAUCGUAGCAUUGGCAUGGCAAAAGAGCGAGCAAACUAGCAUAGCAAAGAUAGUAGUGAUUUCGAGGGUAUGAUCAUCUUGCCUGAAAUCCCGCAAGGAAGAAGAACGAGUCCAAGAAGAAGACAAACGGUCGUAGACGAACAAAUCCUCACAACUCCGGAACGAAACCGAAGCUAACGAGAGAAGCAACCCGGAAAGGAACAAACAACAUAGUAAACCAACAAGCACAAACAUGGCAUGAUGCACAACCAAGUAUGAUGCAUGUCUGGUUUAAUGAGGCAUGGCAUGGCAAAAUGCAACAAACUAUCUUACAAAUUAAGUGGAGCUCAAUAUGCAACGGAGUUGCAUAUUGACGAAACACCACAUCAAUUAUUUAGUUCUCUCUCGGUUAUGCUAUCCAACAAUAUUAACUGUUGUUAAACAUGGCAAGAGGUGAGGCAUAAUUAAACUAACAAUACCAUCUAAACAAUUUAAAUGGGGCCGGAUAUAAAAACAACAAAUCCGGUAAAUCCCCAUAUGCAUUUAGCAAUUUAAAGCAACACCAAUUUUAAGCAUUUUAAUUGUUAUUAUCAUGAUGCGGAUGACAUAUGCAAGUUUUAUGCAAUUUUUAUGAAAAUGUUGACAUAAGCAUGUUAAGGAGCAUUUGGUCACCAUGGCGGAACGAAAGGGGUGCCACGGCAAUGAUAACAAAAAUGGUGCCACGGCAACGAUAACGAAAAUGGUGCCACGGCAACAUUCCGAUGAUCCGAUAACUCAUUGAGAUACCGGUGCAAAAGAGCAAGUGUGCGGAUGUGCGAAACAUGCAGAAGAUGGUGGGGUGAUCCCGUCUACCGGGUUCCCACGGGAUAGUGGCAUGGAAACGAGUGACAAACGGACACGAUGCAAAAACGGGCAUCUCAUACAACAUGCAUUCGGUCCACGAACAUCGUCUCGGUGUUAUACCUUCGAAGCGUGCGUUUCGGGCGGAUCGAGUUCGUAGAGGGAAGUAGACGUUCACGGGUCGACGGUAGUGGUACAUCUCAUAGACGUUCACGGGUCAUCGUGGAGGUAGACGUUCACGGCGUCGGUAGAGGAAGUAGUUGUUCACGUGGCGACGGUAGUGGAAGUAGUUGUUCUCGCGAUGGUAGUGGUUCGAGGUCUUGGCGGGUCAUCAUGUAGCCGUACAUGUUCGUCAUGGUACACCGUUCGUAGAAGUUCGGGUCGACAGUAGUGGUUCAUGUUUCGGAGAGGAACUUGACGCCCAUGGGUCGAUGGUAGAGGUACUUGACGCAUCAUGUAGUCGAACUUGGCAUAUCCGAAUGGGUACUUGACGAAAUCCACAUCGAAUGUAGUCGUGCACGUCGUAGUCGGACUUGACAAAAAUCACACCGGCUGUAGUCGAAGUACUUGGCGUGCAUCCACUGUUGACCAACAGUGUACAGGAGGCAGCAAGGCAUGGCCGACUUGGUGUGCAACCAAAGAUGGACUCCGGGCGUCUGGGUUGACUUGGCCACGACAAAGGCAGCAAGGCCAACGGGGCAGCCAGCUCGUCUUGGAGGGGAGCCCUAUCGGACAGAGCAGCUCGAGGACAUCGGCGGCUCACGAGGCACCAACAGCAGCAGGACGAGGCAUGAAAAAAAAUGACAGCACGGCAACCAUGAAGGAGGCGCACGUGGUCGUGGUGGCUCGGGCAGAAGGCCACGGAGGAGCGACGGGGAUGCAGACUAGGCAGGAGGCGGCGGAGACAUGGCCAUCGAUGCGCGACCGUUUGGAGGUGGGGCGCCACGUAGCUGCGGCUGCUCCCAGCCGAAGCUCGGGCCUCCAUGCCGUCGAGACGCGGCACAGGGAGAUGGAAGGAUGGAUGGGCGCGACGGAGGGCAGCAGUCCGGCGACGGAGCAGACGCAAAGCAGGGUCGAGGCAGGCGUGAUGCGGAGGAGCUCGGCGUCCAGGGCGGCAUCCAUGGCGGGGCGGCGCUAAGUCGAGGCGCUCGGGCUGCAGGAGGCGAACGGCGGAGGGAGGCGAUGGCGACGCGGGGGAGAAGGAAGGGCGAGGUGGAGGCACACAGGAGGGGAAGGAGGAGAUCGAGGAGAGGGCCUCCUCUGGCGGCGCGAGGGAGGAGAGGGAGAGGGGAUCGGCCGAUGGGUGUGCGUGGGUGGCAGCAGAGGGGAACGAGGAGAGGAAGAUGGCGGCGUGAGGGAGGAGAUCGAGAGAGACCGAGAGGACGAGGGAGUCGGGCUAGCGGGGCUAGGGUUCGGUCGGUAGGGCGCCGGCUGGGCCUUAGAGGCCGGCGGCUGGGCCUGGGAGGUCCAAGAGGCCCAGGCUGUUGGGCUCCUUCUCUCUAUCUCUUUAGCAGAAAAAAAAUAGAGAGCAUUCAAAAGAAUUAAAAGAAAAGGCCAAGAACAAGAAAAAAUGGUGGGACAUAUUUGUAAGGCUUUACGGAAUAUUUCCAACCCAACAAAAAUGGUUCCAACAAAAUAGGAGAAGUUAAAUCUAAAAUUAUUUAACUUGCACCGAAGGAGUUUGAAUGGAGUCUAGACUUUAGGAGUAGCCAAAAUGUUGAGAUUUUUGGUGGAGCUCCGGAAGAUGAUGAAAGAAUAAAUGGUAAAGUUGGAGACCAAGAAUUAAGAUAAUAAAGGCAUUGGAAUAUUUUGCAAGUGUGUUAAGGUGAUUUCCGAAACAAUGGAAUAUUUAAAAUAGCUCCCUAAUAUUGGAGGAUAUGUUAUAAAGAGAAGUCACCAUGUGAGUCCCUCGAUUUAAAUGGAUCGAAAAAUCCAGACAAUUUAUUUAGUUGAGGUUUAAAAAAUUAAUGAUAUGAUGGCAUGAUGACAUGAUGCAAUGCACAUGAUGCAAGGAUGAAUGCAACAAAUAAAACAAAUCACACGACGAAACUCGGAAUAGCUGGAAGUCUUCUGGAGCGUCGGUCUCGGGGCGUUACAACACUCCACCACUACAAGAGGAUCUCGUCCCGAGAUCUAGGAUGGCACCGGAGAGAAAUGGAAGAGGAAGAGAAGAGGUAAAACUAAGUUGCUUCUUCGACAAAAGAGUGAAACCAAAGAACCUUGAGAGGUUGAAAAAGUUGAAAGAAAGAGCACAACGGAGUAGAACACAAUUGAGAGCACUGCGGUAGAACAAAUAGAAACAAGGAACACCAUUUUAACCUUAGAGGUUGCAAAGCUAUGAAUGACGAGUACAAUGAAGGAAGGAAUUGAACCCGCUCUGGUUGAAACAAGAUAAACACGAAACAAAGGAAGAACAAAUUCGGACACCACUCCGAUUGAAAAGAGACGCAUGACUUGAUAAGAUGAAAAGAACUUGAAGAGAUGACACAACACUCCGGUUAGAUGGAUAAGCACGAAAAGAACACGAUCCUCAAUUUGAGAAGAUGAGUGAAAAGAGCAACGUCACAAUGCCUCCGAAAGAAAUAAUAGAAGAUAUAUCAUUGGAAUAACAGAAUGGAGAAGAAAAUGCCAACUUCUGCCACAAAUGAGUUUGGAAAGCAUCCUUGCAAGAAGAAUUGAACGGAGUUGUUGGAAAAUCAACAACGAAAAGCACAAGCUUGUAGUGGGCUUAUGGAAAACAUCUCAAAAUUAUGAGGUGACAACCGGCCACUAACGGAAACAAUUGCUUACUUGAGAUCAACGAAGAGAUGAAAACUUCUUCCACCAAGAUGAUAAAGAGAUAACUUGGAUCAUUGGCAAGCACCACAAAUAGCAACAUUCCAAUGGAAGGCUUUUAGGUGAAAUAUGACACAAGAUAACUCCAACAACGAGGUUGAUGGAUUUAAAAAUAACUCAUUCUUAACAACAUGUGAAUCAUGGAACAUGAACUCAAAUUAUCAAGAAUGACAUAAUACCACCUCCAAAAUAUGGUAGAAAGAAUUGCACUCCGGAUUACCAUAUAAAGAAAGCUUUAGCUCCUUAGGAAAGAAUCUCGAUGAAAACUUUGAGAAGGGAAUUAAAUCCUUGAUGAACCAUCAUGUAGAACCUCCAUGAAGAACUCCGGUAAACAAAAGGAAUGAAAAGAAAGAGAAAUUGAAAACACAAGGUGAAUCCUUGCAAUGAUUUAGAUGGAUCUCCGUGAUAAUUAGAGCUUGGAACUCCGGGAAAAAGAGAAGAUGAAACAAAUGAAACCGAGAAUUUUAAGGGCCUCCGGAAUAAAGAAUUAAUCACUUGGAUGAACAAGAAUAAGAAUUAUGUUAUGCUUAUCCUUCACCAAUUAAAUUGAUGACAAUCAACGAAUUUGGCAUACUACUUAUUCUCGUAGAAAGGAUUAAAAGAGAUAUAUCAAAACUUGAGAAGGUCUUCAACGAACCACCGGUAGGAUUGGAACAAAAAAUGAAUUGAUAUGAUGAACAAGGAAGAGAGAUCUUGAAAGAACCACCGUAAGAAUUGAAAAUGAUCGAAGUAGGGGUGCAUCACGGUAAGAAUUAGCAAAUGAACGAAGGUGCUUGAGACAAACUAGAUACAUGAUAACAAAGAGAUCAAGAACUGAUUAGAGGAUAUUCGAUAGAUGCACCGGCAAGAUAGGAGAAUGAUAACUGACGGCCGAGAAUGAAUAAACCUGAAUUGAUGGACUCCGGAUGACAAACUGAGAAGACUCUUGAAUAUCUCCUGAUGGGUGAAAAAGAUUCUCACCAUCGAAACAAUUAUGAGAGGAUGGCAACAAGCUAGCACCAUGAAUCUUGAAGAGAAUAGAGCAAGAUUAAAGAGAAACUCUUCUUCGGUCUUCAAAUGAUGAGAAUGACAACGAGAAACACCACCAAGAAUUAUUGAGGCACACCGGAAGAAUCAAAAGCGAAGAGGUUGAGCCAACUAUGAAAAGAAUUUGAAAGAUCUUGGAGAAAAGCAUUUAACUGAUGAUAACUCAUUCUUACGUCAAACUUAGAGAAGAAUUUAGGAUAGCUCUAGGAAAAUAGAAGAGUCAGGUAAGAUCCUGGGAAAAGACCUGUGGGUUAGGGCCCACUCAAAAGAAGCACCGUUGAAAAGAUUUAAAAGAGAUGUUGCACCGGUUGAAUUAAAUGACUUGAAUGAGAUACCAAUCUCGAAAGAGCUUGAACUAAUGCAGAGUGGAAACACAAAUCUUCGAGAUAUCUUGAGUACUCCGGAAUAACAAAUAGCGAGAAGUAGAAUUAUAAUGAGGUGCACCAGUAUGAGAAGACAUUGAAAUGAGGAAAAAGGUAUGAUCAACAAAACUUGACUUGAAUCCACCGGAGAAGAAAGAAAGAAGAAUGACGAACUUGAAGCUCCGUUAGAAACUUCAUGAGAAUCACCAGAUAAGAACAUUGACGGAAAAGAAUGGAGAGACUUCCCAUCAAUAAAAGGAUACAUGAUUAAGAUAUCUGAGUUGUUGAACAAAAAGGGUGGGAGGGCGGGAAAAACAAAGGCAACUUGGGGCAGUUGGAAUGAACACCGUUGAGAAAAACUUAGAAUUGAUCUUGCGGAUGGGGAGAAUGAUCGGAUCCACUUGAAGAGAGACACACUGGUUGAAAAGGAUUGGCAAGACAAUCUCGAUGAUCAAGAAGGAUUAGUAUUCACAUAGCAAUAUGAGAACACCAUUUAGGAAAGGUAUGGAUUCAACAUUUGACUUUGAAGCAACUCGAAUACCACAAAUAAAACAAAACAAAAGAUUGGCUUGCAAAAUAAGCCGGAACAAACAUAUGAUAGAGAUUUCGUCCGAAGUUUUCGUGGUGGGGCCUACACGGGCUCGAUCGUACAGCACCAUCAUGUACAAGGCAGUGCACAUGACAUACGAAGCGUCCCCGAGUCGGCAUAGUCAAGGACUCUUUAAGACACAACGAGACCACUGUAAAAUCGACCAUGAAUAGGUGGACCACUAGACGUCGAACCCCAAUUUCAUAUCAUACAUCUGUUGGAAAGAUAUCCUAAGAGCUACUUGAAUUCCCACCUAUGAAACUCCCGAAAUUUUCCGGUUAUGCAAUCAGGUGUUGGGGAUACAGGGGAAGCAUAAUAUCUCACACAAAACUAACAAAUCCUACAUCCAGCUGUAUCCAUCCUUCAACACAUAACUAAGAAACCUUCGGAAACCAUCUACCUCAACGUUUGGAAAGCAUCCGUUAUACAAGUCAUGGCAAUACUCCCGUACUCACCUCAGUACUGGGUUAUCGGGGUUAUCUCACCAACGAACUGCAUAAAAGAUAUUUUCGAUGUCGGCGUACUAAACUCAGGUAUUCCAGAACUGCAACGAUAAAAUUAUGAUGACAACACCUCAGAGCUCAACUCCCCGGGACACUUCCACUAAACCCCUGACAGGAGGCACCAAGACAAUGUUAUCGUCAUAAAACCAUCGGAACGAUUCCAAGAUACCCGCGUGAUCCUAAUUUUUUUUUUGAAAUUUGAGAAGAGAAGAGUCAAAACUCUACGUCAGGAUGCCUUACCAGAGCGAUGAAGAGACUGGGGAGUAAAAAGAAUUCCUAAACUCUCCGAUAUAUAUAAUCCUAAAUGACUCAAAAUAUUUUUCUAGACACAACUCGGCCGCUAAAAACGAUCAAGCAAUGGGGCUCCUAAGGUCGGGGAAGGCUCUGAUACCAACUUGUAACGCCCUCGAUGCGGCUAUAUCUCCCACGUGUCGAAGCACGACUUAGAGGCAUAACCGCAUUGAAAGCAAUGUCGCAAGUGAGGUAAUCUUCACACAACCCAUGUAAUACAUAAGGGAAAAAGAUACAUAGUUGGCUUACAAUCGCCACUUCACACAAUUACAUGAAUAAAGCAUUACAUCAUACAGAUACAAUCAAGGUCCGACUACGGAACCAAAAUAAAAGAAGAACCCCAAAUGCGACAAAGGUCCCCGAUCGACCCCAACUGGGCUCCACUACUGAUCAACUAGAACGAAACAACACAAAGG
rnacentral:lncRNA from 1 species